UCACCGUUUAUUAGGGUGACAGUCUAAUAGGUUGCAAGAUUUGAUCUCCACGGCGGCCUAACAGAUGUACCUCGAUCUCCGUUAUUUCCUUUGGUGUCCUCUAUGGAGUCCAGGCAGUCUAUGAGCGCUUCUCCUGGACGAGUUUUCAUCUGUCUGUGUCAAAGGAACAGAGGGAGAAGUGAUAGCUCUGGUGCUAAGAGUUAAUGGAGCUGUCAGGCUAGUGGCAGACAUUUCGGAGCUGGUGAUGAAAAUGAAGCCUCCAUACCAAAACUGUGCGCAGGCAUUGGCCUGCUUGUCGUAAUACCAGCGGAUGGUGUAGCUCCGACAGGUGCCUUGGUUCAAGCUUCACCAGGAACUCCAUGAUCUCCAAAGUCUCCUUUUGCGCCUUUCGUUCCCCUUUCCCCCUGUACUCCACGAUCACCCUACAACAAGAGAAGAGUCAGUCUUCGGUCAGAGACCAACUAAUCAAACACCAGCAAAAUGUUCAGCAGGAACAUACUCAUCAUAGAAUAAAGGGAAAGAAACUGAAUCUCACCUUGGGUCCUGAAGGUCCUGAGAUCCCAGGAGGUCCAUGUAACCCACGGAUGCCCCUCAAACCCUGGUCACCCUGGACCUCUUAAACCAGAUAAACCAGGCUCCCCCUAAGAGAGGAAAGAGUUGGCAGAAUGUACUUUACCUUCUGCCCUGGAGCUCCAUCCUCUCCCGGAAGACCAGGCAAGCCACCCAAACCAGCUGCUCCAGGCUCUCCCUGACCUGGCUCACCAAUUCCUGUCUCUCCUUGAGCUCCCUGCUCUCCUGGUAGACCUUGAUCUCCCUAGAAUAACAAGAUGACAUAAGAUGAAGAGAAAAGUCAUUCUAGAAAAUAUCCAGGUAAACCCUCUCCUGGGAUACCUCUGCCUCCUGGAGGACCUCUCGGACCUUCAAUACCCUGAGCAGUGAUAAAGAUACAGAAGGAAGGCCGGGUUCACCCACUCCAGGAGGACCAGGAGGGCCCCCCCGACCCUGGAAUCCCAUGUCACCCUGCAGAUUCAAACAGUAUUUAUUGAGAGAACUGAAAGAACUGCAGAAAGGAAGAAAACAAUCAACAAAGUACUAAAUAAUUUAUGGACAGGGGAAAUCAAAACAUGACUUACUUUUGGUCCAGCAAGUCCAAUACCAGUUUCUCCCUGAAUUCCUGGUGGACCAGCUGGGCCACGUUCACCCUGUUAUCACAAGUAUGAAAUUAUCCAACAUCAAUACACACUGAAAUUAAACCGAAACAAGACCUGCUGUAGUUAAAGUACCUGGCUACUCUGACCGUAAACCUAUCUAUUAAAGAUCUUUGAUGUCUUCAUUAUAAAAAGAACAAUGCUUCACAUUUGAAAAAUGAUGCAGUUAAAAGCGAAAUUUGUAUACCAACUUGUGCUGACAGGUUAAUGGAUAAUAUGCCCCUUUGAAGCUGAAAAUAAUACUGUUAAUCUUUUAGCAUUGUUGGUUGGAGAGUGAGAUAUUUGAUCUCCUCCUACAAGUGAAGGCAAAAACAGAUCUAAACCUGAGCUCCAGUAAUUUGUCAAAGUUUAAAGAGAACAUGUUGCGUCUCAAAAUAUUCAAGAACUGAUGAAAGGUCUUUAUUACAUCAAAGCUUGGGUAAAUAACAAACUGCUUGGUGUUUAAGAUAUAUUUUACAACCAAAGUUAAAGUUACAGGGACAAAGUAAAACUAGAAUGUUUUCAAAUGUUAUAAAAAAAAACCUGGAGGAACAUCUACCAAUUAAUUAGGUUUAUUUGCAACAGAUGAGUAACAUGACUGGUAUAAAAAGGAAAUUCAAGAAAGGCUGAAUCUAUCAGAUGGAAAGAUGGGAAGAGGUUCAGAACUCUGUGAGAGACAGUGUGAGCAAAUGCUUCAACAAUUAGAAAAAAAUAAAUCCUCACUGUAGAACUGCAAAGAAAUUAGGGAUUUCAUAAUUUCAUCAUCAUUAAAUGAUUUGUAA